UUUUUUAUAGUGUAAAUAACACUUAACAUUUUCAUUGUUAAAAUGAUCUUAAAUCUAAAAAUA
rnacentral:tRNA from 1 species